rnacentral:sRNA from 1 species
CAAUAAUAUAAUAUAUAAUAAUAAUAAUCGUAUAAAAACCCUAUUAGAAAUAUCAAGUGUUCCUUCAGAGCCGGGAGUAAUUUUUUCCAUUAUGACCAACAACAAAUCAGUAGCUGCCAAAUCGAGCUGACCUACCAGAGUUGCCAUAUCAUCUGCUGCCGAAUUGGAGAUCACAAAGAAAGCACCUCAUAUAACUAAUCGGUAAAGCCGGUGGAGUAAUAGCAGAGCUGACGAAUAGAUCAUCAAACAAAGAUGAUAGCAACGGACCAUUUAAAGGGCUCCUUGGAUUUUCUCUGGAUAUAGAUUGCUUAAGGCACUUGGAGCUGCAUCAAAGCACAACGCCUCGCCAAAAAAGGACGAGGGAUUGCAGCCGUUGGUUUCGGAUUUGACGCUUUUAAAUGUAAUCUAACUAAACCUUACUACAAUAAUAUUUACCAUGUGCUCAAUUAUCAUCAAUUGCCGUUGUUUUAUCCGAUUUGAAAUGCGACUUAUUUGAAAACAAAUUUGUAAAGUAUGUGAAGCACAGCUAAUUAAACAAAAAUUGGAUUGUCAAAUCCCAUCUCUAAAAAUAAUUUUGAAUCAUAUUUAAAUUGUUCCAUGCCAUAACUAACAAAAUACAUUCAUCUCCAUAUACAUAAGUAUAAAACUGACCUGACUGACUGAUUGGUAAAUAUUGCCAAAUAUCACGUUCUUCGCAGAAUGUAAGCUUCCUCUGGAGAAAUUCCGUUUAAAGAUUUUUUGAGCUAAGUUUGAAGUUGGAAU